GCAGCACGGGGGCAACCCUGGUGGCGAGUGGCGAACGGGUGAGUAACAUAUCGGAACGUGCCCUGGAGUGGGGGAUAACUAGUCGAAAGAUUAGCUAAUACCGCAUACGAUCUACGGAUGAAAGUGGGGGAUCGCAAGACCUCAUGCUCGUGGAGCGGCCGAUAUCUGAUUAGCUAGUUGGUGGGGUAAAGGCCUACCAAGGCAUCGAUCAGUAGCUGGUCUGAGAGGACGACCAGCCACACUGGGACUGAGACACGGCCCAGACUCCUACGGGAGGCAGCAGUGGGGAAUUUUGGACAAUGGGCGCAAGCCUGAUCCAGCAAUGCCGCGUGAGUGAAGAAGGCCUUCGGGUUGUAAAGCUCUUUUGUCAGGGAAGAAACGGUGGAGGUUAAUACCUUCUGCUAAUGACGGUACCUGAAGAAUAAGCACCGGCUAACUACGUGCCAGCAGCCGCGGUAAUACGUAGGGUGCAAGCGUUAAUCGGAAUUACUGGGCGUAAAGCGUGCGCAGGCGGUUGUGCAAGACAGAUGUGAAAUCCCCGGGCUCAACCUGGGAAUUGCAUUUGUGACUGUACGGCUAGAGUGUGUCAGAGGGGGGUAGAAUUCCACGUGUAGCAGUGAAAUGCGUAGAGAUGUGGAGGAAUACCGAUGGCGAAGGCAGCCCCCUGGGAUAACACUGACGCUCAUGCACGAAAGCGUGGGGAGCAAACAGGAUUAGAUACCCUGNUAGUCCACGCCCUAAACGAUGUCUACUAGUUGUCGGGUCUUUAUUGACUUGGUAACGCAGCUAACGCGUGAAGUANACCGCCUGGGGAGUACGGUCGCAAGAUUAAAACUCAAAGGAAUUGACGGGGACCCGCACAAGCGGUGGAUGAUGUGGNUUAANUUCGAUGCNNCGCGAAAACNUUACCUACCCUUGAC
rnacentral:rRNA from 1 species